GGCCUGAUGGUCUAGUGGUAUGAUUGUCGCUUCGUAAGCCUGCCCCGCCACCACCCCUCUCCGAAACCCCGCUUUCUAACAACUGCAUCAGGGGUUUCUUUACCUGGAUACAGUGUAUCUGUGAUUGUGACAGGCCCCGGGUUCGAAUCCCGGUCAGGCCC
rfam:Setosphaeria turcica Et28A unplaced genomic scaffold SETTTscaffold_24, whole genome shotgun sequence.